AUGGUAUGGCUGUUCGCCAUUUAAAGUGGGACGCGAGCUGGGUUUAGAACGUCGUGGGACAGUUCCGUCCCUAACUGCCGUGGGCGCUGGGGAAUUGCGGGGGGGUGCCCGAUGUACGGAAGGGCCGGAGUAGAAGCGUCACUGGUGUUCGGGUUGUCCUGCCAAUGGCAGUGCGGGGUCUCUAAAUUCGGAAGAGAUAAGUGCUGAAAGCAUCUAAGCACGAAACUUGCCCCGAGAUGAGUUCUCCCUGAGACUAUAAGUCUCCUGAAGGAACGUUGAAGACGACGACGUUGAUAGGCCGGGUGUGUAAGCGCAGCGAUGCGUUGAGCUAACCGGUACUAAUGAACCGUGAGGCUUAACCUU
rnacentral:rRNA from 1 species